rnacentral:piRNA from 1 species
UUUCCAUUGCGUGUUUUUAAA